rnacentral:rRNA from 1 species
UACGGAGGAUGCAAGCGUUAUCCGGAAUGAUUGGGCGUAAAGCGUCCGCAGGUGGCUGUGUAAGUCUGCUGUCAAAGAGCGAAGCUCAACUUCGUAAAGGCAGUGGAAACUACACGGCUAGAGUGCGUUCGGGGCAGAGGGAAUUCCUGGUGUAGCGGUGAAAUGCGUAGAGAUCAGGAAGAACACCGGUGGCGAAGGCGCUCUGCUAGGCCGCAACUGACGCUGAGGGACGAAAGCUAGGGGAGCGAAUGGG